rnacentral:piRNA from 1 species
UUACAGUCAGAUUUACAGCGUAGUCAA